rnacentral:rRNA from 1 species
GAUGAACGCUGACAGAAUGCUUAACACAUGCAAGUCAACUUGAAUUUGGGUUUUUAACUUAGGUUUGGGUGGCGGACGGGUGAGUAACGCGUAAAGAACUUGCCUCACAGCUAGGGACAACAUUUUGAAACGAAUGCUAAUACCUAAUAUUAUGAUAAUAGGGCAUCCUAUAAUUAUGAAAGCUAUAAGCGCUGUGAGAGAGCUUUGCGUCCCAUUAGCUAGUUGGAGAGGUAACGGCUCACCAAGGCGAUGAUGGGUAGCCGGCCUGAGAGGGUGAUCGGCCACAAGGGGACUGAGACACGGCCCUUACUCCUACGGGAGGCAGCAGUGGGGAAUAUUGGACAAUGGACCGAGAGUCUGAUCCAGCAAUUCUGUGUGCACGAUGAAGUUUUUCGGAAUGUAAAGUGCUUUCAGUUGGGAAGAAACAAAUGACGGUACCAACAGAAGAAGUGACGGCUAAAUACGUG